rnacentral:misc_RNA from 1 species
AUAAGGCUCUGAAAGGAACUGGCGGCCAUAGAACCGACUAAGAAUAGCUACUGACAUCCUACUUUGCAUUUCAUUGCACGAUUACCACACGUACAUCGAGGCGAGAAUGCCGCGUGUUUGUACAGUUGUAUACAAGAGAAACGAAUGCCACGGAAACAUCGGUAAAUCCACCGACUGUUAAUUGCAACGCGUGGCUGGUUUUCACGCUCGCGACAUCACACGCCGUCGGACAAAAAGGAAACCCUGUAGAGGCUCGAUGUGGCCAUUCCAGACACCGUUACGCCGUCCGUCGAACGAAAGAAAAUGACGAUCGAAUUUCGAAAUAUAUCCACCGCGUUCGUUCCAAGACUGAAGCUCUGACGACAGGGAAAAUAUCGCAUCCUGGCGAAAACGCUUUAAAACUUCGGAUAUUGAGUGCCACGUGACGGAAAUACGAACGAACUCUCAUCCCUUUGAGUGACAAACUGAACGCAUCUUCGAAGAAUGCAGGAACAAUUACACGCCAAAUAGCAAAAUGAGAAUUUGUCAUGACGUUUUCGUCCGCCAUUUGCACGAAUCGUCUAACCUAUAUUGAAAGUAUUUUGUUAAUAUUGUCCGAAUUCCGAAAACAUGCAAGCAGGCCAUAAUACAAUAAAAGCGUAGAUACAAUAUAGCUAACAAUAAAUCUCACAAAUGCAAUAUGGCUGGCAAUAAAACAUGGUGGAUCACCUUAUGAACAUUCUGAGUAAUAAAUCAUUCGAUUUAAACCCCCGAUAAUUUAUAUUUUUGAAGUAUUAUUUCAUUUUACUAUUACCG